rnacentral:rRNA from 1 species
UACAGAGGGGGGCAAGCGUUAUUCGGAAUUAUUGGGGCGUAAAGGGCGCGUAGGCGGCUUUUCAAGUGACGGGUGAAAUCCCUCGGCUUAACCCGAGGAACUGCCUGUCAGACUGGAAGGCUUGAGACCGGGAGAGGUGAGUGGAAUUCCCAGUGUAGCGGUGAAAUGCGUAGAUAUUGGGAGGAACACCAGUGGCGAAGGCGGCUCACUGGACCGGAACUGACGCUGAGGCGCGAAAGCGUGGGGAGCAAACAGG